AAUUAUACAGCCUCUACUAUUGUAUGAAACACUUAAAAAGAAACAAGAAAAAUGGAGUUUCUUACAACAGUUAUAUAUCAACAGCAUCAACUGGUAAGGAUGUUGUUCUGUGAAGUGAGUUAGGAAGCAAUGUUCUAGUGAAGAAACUCUUUGCAGAACUAACCAUGUCUCUGACAUUCGGGGAACCUUUGAUCGCCUCACAUUCGGGCCCUUUGGG
rnacentral:misc_RNA from 1 species